AUGAACGCUGGCGGCGUGCCUUAGGCAUGCGGGUCGAACGGUCGCCGUAAGGCGACAGUGGCAGACGGGUGAGUAACGCGUAGGAAUCUACCUCUGGGUAAGGUAUAGCCGGCCGAAAGGUCGGGUAAUCCCUUAUAGUCUCGCAAGAGUAAAGGACUUAACGGUCCGCCGAGAGAGGAGCCUGCGUCCUAUCAGCUAGUUGGUGAGGUAAAGGCUUACCAAGGCGAUGACGGGUAGCUGGACUGAGAGGUCGAUCAGCCACAACUGCACUGAGACACGGGCAGUACACCUACGGGUGGCAGCAACCAGGAAUAUUGCGCAAUGGACGAAAGUCUGACGCAGCGACGCCGCGUGGAGGAAGAAGGCCCUAGGGUUGUAAACUCCUUUUGCCAAGCCGUUCACAGCUUGGAGAAUAAGCCUCUACUAACUACGUGCCAGAAGUCUCGGUAAUACGUAGGAGGCGAGCGUUAUCCGGAUUUACUGGGCGUAAAGUGUGCGUAGGCGCCCCAUUAAGUCGUGCUUUAAAUACUAAGGCUUACCCUUAGAGCUGAGUACGAUACUGUUGGGGUUGAGGAUUAAUAGGGCAGCUGGAACAGUACGUGUAGCAGUGAAAUGCGUUGAUAUGUACUGGAACACCAAGGGCGAAGGCAGGCUGCUGGGUUUUUCCUGACGCUGAUGCACGAAAGCUAGGGUAGCGAAACAGAUUAGAUACCUGUGUAGUCCUAGCCGUAAACGAUGUCCGCUAACUGUGGUCUUUUGGCCGCGGUUCAAGCUAACGCAUUAAGCGGACCGCCUGGGGAGUACGACCGCAAGGUUAAAACUCAAAGGAAUUGACGGGGACCCGCACAACUGGUGGAGCGUGUGGUUUAAUUCGAGACAAAGCGAAACACCUUACCAGGGCUUGACAUGCUACCGUUUUAUACCUUUUGAAAGAUUGGUAGAUCCGUAAGGAUGGUAGCACAGGUGAUGCAUGGCUGUCGUCAGCUCGUGUCGUGAGGUGUUCCCUUAAGUGGGGAAGCGAGCGCAACCCCCGUGAAAUGUUACAUAUUCAUUUCAGACGGUCCCGAUCAUAUCGGGAAGGAAGGAGGGGAAGACGUCAAGUCAGCACGUCCCUUAUGCCCUGGGUCACACACACCCUACAAUGGCGAACAACAAAGAGCAGCAAGUCGGCGACGACAAGCAAAUCUCUAAAAUUUCGCCUCAGUUCAGAUUGCAGUCUGCAACCCGACUGCAUGAAGGAGGAAUCAGUAGUAAUCGCGAAUCAGCAGGUCGCGGUGAAUACGUUCUCGGGUCUUGUACACACCGCCCGUCAAGGCAGCAAAGUUGGGAGCGGAUGAAGCCCUUACGUAAUGUAAGGUCGAGUCCGAGCUUAGCGAUGAAGCUU
rnacentral:rRNA from 1 species